UGAGGCCCCAGGUCAGCGGGAUUACCCGCUGAAUUUAAGCAUAUCAAUAAGCGGAG
rnacentral:rRNA from 1 species